GACGAACGCUGGCGGCGUGCUUAACACAUGCAAGUCGAACGGAAAGGCCCUGCUUUUGUGGGGUGCUCGAGUGGCGAACGGGUGAGUAACACGUGAGUAACCUGCCCUUGACUUUGGGAUAACUUCAGGAAACUGGGGCUAAUACCGGAUAGGAGCUCCUGCUGCAUGGUGGGGGUUGGAAAGUUUCGGCGGUUGGGGAUGGACUCGCGGCUUAUCAGCUUGUUGGUGGGGUAGUGGCUUACCAAGGCUUUGACGGGUAGCCGGCCUGCGAGGGUGACCGGCCACAUUGGGACUGAGGUACGGCCCAGACUCCUACGUGAGGCAGCGGUGGGGAAUAUUGCACAAUGGGCGGAAGCCUGAUGCAGCAACGCCGCGUGCGGGAUGACGGUCUUCGGAUUGUAAACCGCUUUCGCCUGUGACGAAGCGUGAGUGACGGUAAUGGGUAAAGAAGCACCGGCUAACUACGUG
rnacentral:rRNA from 1 species